UACGGAAGGCAGCAGUGGGGAAUAUUGCACAAUGGGCGCAAGCCUGAUGCAGCCAUGCCGCGUGUAUGAAGAAGGCCUUCGGGUUGUAAAGUACUUUCAGCGGGGAGGAAGGCGAUGCGGUUAAUAACCGCGUCGAUUGACGUUACCCGCAGAAGAAGCACCGGCUAACUCCGUGCCAGCAGCCGCGGUAAUACGGAGGGUGCAAGCGUUAAUCGGAAUUACUGGGCGUAAAGCGCACGCAGGCGGUCUGUUAAGUCAGAUGUGAAAUCCCCGGGCUUAACCUGGGAACUGCAUUUUGAACUGGCAGGCUUGAGUCUUGUAGAGGGGGUAGAAUUCCAGGUGUAGCGGUGAAAUGCGUAGAGAUCUGGAGGAAUACCGGUGGCGAAGGCGGCCCCUGGGACAAAGACUGACGCUCAGGUGCGAAAGCGUGGGGAGCAAACAGGAUUAGGAUACC
rnacentral:rRNA from 1 species